UUUUCAAAGAGAAAAUGAAUGAUUUUGGAAAUAAAAGGGGGAUUUUUGAAGAGAAAAUGGGUGAUUUUUGGGUUAAAUGGGGGAUUUUCAAAGAGAAAAUGGAAGAUUUUGGCUUAAAUCAGGGAUUUUUGAAGAGAAAAUGGGUGAUUUCUGCAUAAAUGAGGGAUUUUUGAAAAGAAAACGGGUGAUUUUUGUGCUAAAUGGGGGAUUUUCAAAGAGAAAAUGGAUUAUUUUCACUAAAAUGAAGGAUUUUCAAAGAGUAAAUGAAUGAUUUUUGCUUAAAUUGGGGAUUUUCAAUGAGAAAAUGGGUGAUUUUCACUAAAAUGAGGGAUUAUCAAAGAGAAAAUAAGUGAUUUUUGCGGAAAUGAGGGAUUCUCGAAGGGAAAAUGGGUGAUUUUUGGGUUAAAUGGCGGAUUUUCAAAGAGAAAAUGCAUGAUUUUCUAGUUAAAUGGAUAAUUUUCGAAUAGAAAACGGUUGAUUUUUUGCGUAAAUGGGGGAUUUUCGAAAAGAAAACGGGUGGUUUUCGGGUUAAAUAGGGGAUUUUCAAAGAAAAAAUGCGUGAUUUUUGGGUUAAAUGGGAUUUUUUUUAAGAGAAAAUGAGUGAUUUUCGCUUAAAUCGGUUUUUUUCGAAGAGAAAAUGCAUGAUUUGGGGGAUAAAAGGGGGAUUUCAGAAGAGAAAAUGGGUGAUUUUUGCGUAAAUGAGGGAUUUUUGAAGAGAAAAUGCAUGAUUUUGGGGAUGAAUGGGGGAUUUUUGAAGAGAAAAUGGGUGAUUUUUUGCGUAAAUGUGGGAUUUUCGAAGAGAAAAUGGGUGAUUUUCGGGUUGAAUGGGGGAUUUUUGAAGAGAAAAUGGGUGAUUUCUGCGUAAAUGACGGAUUUUCGAAGAGAAAAUGAGUGAUUUUUGGGUUAAAUGGGGGAUUUUCAAAGAGAAACGGCAUGAUUUUUGGGUGAAAUGGGGAAUUUUCGAAAAGAAAACAGGUGAUUUUUGUGGUAAAUGGGGGAUUUUCAAAGAGAAAAUGGGUGAUUUUUCGCUUAAAUCGGGGAUUUUUGAAGAGAAAAUGGGUGAUUUCUGCAUAAAUGAGGGAUUUUUAAAAAGAAAACAGGUGAUUUUUGUGGUAAAUGGGGGAUUUUCAAAGAAAAAAUGGAUUAUAUUCGCUAAAAUGAAGGAUUUUCAAAGAUCGGUUUUUUCGAAGAGAAAAAUUGGUUUUUUUCGAAGAGAAAAUGCAUGAUUUGGGGGAUAAAAGGGGGAUUUCUGAAGAGAAAAUGGGUGAUUUUUGCGUAAAUGACGGAUUUUCAAAGAGAAAAUGGGUGAUUUUGGGGAUAAAUGGGGGAUUUUUGAAGAGAAAAUGGGUGAUUUCUGCGUAAAUGACGGAUUUUCAAAGAGAAAAUGUGUGAUUUUCGGGUUAAAUGGGGGAUUUUCAAAGAGAAAAUGGGUGAUUUUCGCUUAAAUCGGGGAUUUUUGAAGAGAAAAUGGGUGAUUUCUGCAUAAAUGAGGGAUUUUUAAAAAGAAAACGGGUGAUUUUUGUGGUAAAUGGGGGAUUUUCAAAGAAAAAAUGGAUUAUUUUCGCUAAAAUGAAGGAUUUUCAAAGAGUAAAUGAAUGAUUUUUGCUUAAAUUGGGGUUUUUCAAUGAGAAAAUGGGUGAUUUUCACUAAAAUGAGGGAUUAUCAAAGAGAAAAUAAGUGAUUUUUGCGUAAAUGAGGGAUUUUCGAAGAGAAAAUGGGUGAUUUUUGUGGAAAAUGGGGGAUUUUCAAAGAGAAAAUGGGUGAUUUUGGGGUUAAAUGGGGAAUUUUCGAAAAGAAAACGGGUGAUUUUCGCUUAAAUGGGGGAUUUUCAAGGAGAAAAUGGGUGAUUUUUGCGUAAAUGAGGGAUUCUCGAAGGGAAAAUGGGUGAUUUUGGGGUUAAAUGGGGGAUUUUCAAAGAGAAAAUGCAUGAUUUUCUAGUUAAAUGGAUAAUUUUCGAAGAGAAAAUGGUUGUUUUUUGCGUAAAUGGGGGAUUUUCGAAAAGAAAACGGGUGGUUUUCGGGUUAAAUAGGGGAUUUUCAAAGAAAAAAUGCGUGAUUUUUGGGUUAAAUGGGAAUUUUUUUAAGAGAAAAUGAGUGAUUUUCGCUUAAAUUGGUUUUUUUCGAAGAGAAAAUGCAUGAUUUGGGGGAUAAAAGGGGGAUUUCUGAAGAGAAAAUGGGUGAUUUUUGCGUAAAUGAGGGAUUUUUAAAAGAAAACGGGUGAUUUUCAGGUUAAAUGGGGGAUUUUCAAAGAGAAAAUGGGUGAUUUUCGCUUAAAUCGGGGAUUUUUGAAGAGAAAAUGGGUGAUUUCUGCAUAAAUGAGGGAUUUUUAAAAAGAAAACGGGUGAUUUUUGUGGUAAAUGGGGGAUUUUCAAAGAAAAAAUGGAUUAUUUUCGCUAAAAUGAAGGAUUUUCAAAGAGUAAAUGAAUGAUUUUUGCUUAAAUUGGGGUUUUUCAAUGAGAAAAUGGGUGAUUUUCACUAAAAUGAGGGAUUAUCAAAGAGAAAAUAAGUGAUUUUUGCGUAAAUGAGGGAUUUUCGAAGAGAAAAUGGGUGAUUUUUGUGGAAAAUGGGGGAUUUUCAAAGAGAAAAUGGGUGAUUUUGGGGUUAAAUGGGGAAUUUUCGAAA
ensembl:lncRNA